rnacentral:rRNA from 1 species
UACGUAGGGUGCGAGCGUUUGUCCGGAAUUAUUGGGCGUAAAGGGCUCGUAGGCGGUUUGUCGCGUCGGGAGUGAAAACCCAGGGCUUAACCCUGGGCUGGCUUUCGAUACGGGCAGACUAGAGGUAUGCAGGGGAGAACGGAAUUCCUGGUGUAGCGGUGAAAUGCGCAGAUAUCAGGAGGAACACCGGUGGCGAAGGCGGUUCUCUGGGCAUUACCUGACGCUGAGGAGCGAAAGUGUGGGGAGCGAACAGG